rnacentral:rRNA from 1 species
CCUACAUUGAGUAGCGGCGGACGGGUGAGUAAUGUCUGGGAAACUGCCUGAUGGAGGGGGAUAACUACUGGAAACGGUAGCUAAUACCGCAUAACGUCUUCGGACCAAAGAGGGGGACCUUCGGGCCUCUUGCCAUCAGAUGUGCCCAGAUGGGAUUAGCUAGUAGGUGAGGUAAUGGCUCACCUAGGCGACGAUCCCUAGCUGGUCUGAGAGGAUGACCAGCCACACUGGAACUGAGACACGGUCCAGACUCCUACGGGAGGCAGCAGUGGGGAAUAUUGCACAAUGGGCGCAAGCCUGAUGCAGCCAUGCCGCGUGUGUGAAGAAGGCCUUCGGGUUGUAAAGCACUUUCAGCGGGGAGGAAGGCGGUGAGGUUAAUAACCUCAUCGAUUGACGUUACCCGCAGAAGAAGCACCGGCUAACUCCGUGCCAGCAGCCGCGGUAAUACGGAGGGUGCAAGCGUUAAUCGGAAUGACUGGGCGUAAAGCGCACGCAGGCGGUUUGUUAAGUCAGAUGUGAAAUCCCCGAGCUUAACUUGGGAACUGCAUUUGAAACUGGCAAGCUAGAGUCUUGUAGAGGGGGGUAGAAUUCCAGGUGUAGCGGUGAAAUGCGUAGAGACUGGAGGAAUACCGGUGGCGAAGGCGGCCCCCUGGACAAAGACUGACGCUCAGGUGCGAAAGCGUGGGGAGCAAACAGAUCCUA